UACGAAGGUGACAAGCGUUGUUCGGAUUUACUGGGCGUACAGGGAGCGUAGGCGGUUGGGUAAGCCCUCCGUGAAAUCUCCGGGCCCAACCCGGAAAGUGCGGAGGGGACUGCUCGGCUAGAGGAUGGGAGAGGAGCGCGGAAUUCCCGGUGUAGCGGUGAAAUGCGUAGAGAUCGGGAGGAAGGCCGGUGGCGAAGGCGGCGCUCUGGAACAUUUCUGACGAUGAGGCUCGAAAGAGUGGGGAGCAAACAGG
rnacentral:rRNA from 1 species